rnacentral:rRNA from 1 species
GAUGAACGCUGGCGGCGUUCCUAAUACAUGCAAGUCGAGCGAACAGACGAGGAGCUUGCUCCUCUGACGUUAGCGGCGGACGGGUGAGUAACACGUGGAUAACCUACCUAUAAGACUGGGAUAACUUCGGGAAACCGGAGCUAAUACCGGAUAAUAUAUUGAACCGCAUGGUUCAAUAGUGAAAGACGGUUUUGCUGUCACUUAUAGAUGGAUCCGCGCCGCAUUAGCUAGUUGGUAAGGUAACGGCUUACCAAGGCAACGAUGCGUAGCCGACCUGAGAGGGUGAUCGGCCACACUGGAACUGAGACACGGUCCAGACUCCUACGGGAGGCAGCAGUUGGGAAUCUUCCGCAAUGGGCGAAAGCCUGACGGAGCAACGCCGCGUGAGUGAUGAAGGUCUUCGGAUCGUAAAACUCUGUUAUUAGGGAAGAACAAAUGUGUAAGUAACUAUGCACGUCUUGACGGUACCUAAUCAGAAAGCCACGGCUAACUACGUG